UACGGAGGGUGCAAGCGUUGUCCGGAUUUAUUGGGUUUAAAGGGUGCGUAGGCGGCCCUGUAAGUCAGUGGUGAAAUACUGCAGCUUAACUGUAGCAUUGCCAUUGAUACUGUAGGGCUUGAGUACAGAUGAGGUAGGCGGAAUUGAUGGUGUAGCGGUGAAAUGCAUAGAUACCAUCAAGAACACCGAUUGCGAAGGCAGCUUACUAAGCUGUAACUGACGCUGAGGCACGAAAGCGUGGGGAUCGAACAGGA
rnacentral:rRNA from 1 species